GUGCGUAACGCGUAUGCAACCUACCUUCAUCUGGGGGAUAGCCCGGAGAAAUCCGGAUUAACACCGCAUAAAAUCACAGUAUUGCAUAAUACAAUGAUCAAAUAUUUAUAGGAUGGAGAUGGGCAUGCGUGUCAUUAGCUAGUUGGCGGGGUAAUGGCCCACCAAGGCGACGAUGACUAGGGGAUCUGAGAGGAUGGCCCCCCACACUGGUACUGAGACACGGACCAGACUCCUACGGGAGGCAGCAGUAAGGAAUAUUGGUCAAUGGAGGCAACUCUGAACCAGCCAUGCCGCGUGCAGGAAGACUGCCCUAUGGGUUGUAAACUGCUUUUAUUCGGGAAUAAACCUAUCUACGUGUAGAUAGCUGAAUGUACCGAAGGAAUAAGGAUCGGCUAACUCCGUGCCAGCAGCCGCGGUAAUACGGAGGAUCCAAGCGUUAUCCGGAUUUAUUGGGUUUAAAGGGUGCGUAGGCGGCCUGUUAAGUCAGGGGUGAAAGACGGUAGCUCAACUAUCGCAGUGCCCUUGAUACUGAUGGGCUUGAAUGGACUAGAGGUAGGCGGAAUGAGACAAGUAGCGGUGAAAUGCAUAGAUAUGUCUCAGAACACCGAUUGCGAAGGCAGUUUACUAUGGUCUUAUUGACGCUGAGGCACGAAAGCGUGGGGAUCAAACAGGAUUAGAUACCCU
rnacentral:rRNA from 1 species